ACUAUUUUGACAGAAAAAUGUGAUGGUUUUAGAAACCGUAAAUAUAUAAAUUAAUUAAAUUAUAUAGAUAGUA
rnacentral:tRNA from 1 species